UACGUAGGGGGCAAGCGUUGUCCGGAAUCAUUGGGCGUAAAGAGCGUGUAGGCGGCCCGAUAAGUCCGCUGUGAAAGUCCAGGGCUCAACCCUGGAAUGCCGGUGGAUACUGUCGGGCUCGAAUCCGGAAGAGGUGAGUGGAAUUCCUGGUGUAGCGGUGAAAUGCGCAGAUAUCAGGAGGAACACCAAUGGCGAAGGCAGCUCACUGGGACGGUAUUGACGCUGAGACGCGAAAGCCAGGGGAGCAAACGGG
rnacentral:rRNA from 1 species